AAUGAACGUUGGCGGCGUGGAUUAGGCAUGCAAGUCGAGCGAGUCUACUUAUAGCAAUAUGAGUAAGUCGAGCGGCGUAAGGGGCAGUAAUACCUGGGAACGUACCCUGAGGUCGGGGGAUAGCUGCUGGAAACGGCGAGCAAUACCCGAUGAUCUUGGAAAAGCAAAGGCUUGCCGCCUUAGGAGCGGCCCAGGCGAUAUUAGCUAGUUGGUGGGGUAAUGGCCUACCAAGGCAUAGAUGUCUAGCGGGUGUGAGAGCAUGGCCCCCACCACUGGGACUGAGAUACUGCCCAGACACCUACGGGUGGCUGCAGUCGAGGAUCUUCGUCAAUGGGCGAAAGCCUGAACCGAGCGACGCCGCGUGCGGGAUGAAGGCCCU
rnacentral:rRNA from 1 species